rnacentral:ncRNA from 1 species
UAUUUUCAGAAACGCGUUUAAUGCAAUUGAGUAUUGUUUCAAUCUAUGCUUCAGUAACUUCGUUAGAGAGCCAGAGACAUUUAAAGGAAUAAAUGCAUUUCAAUCCUCGUAGGAGACGAAGGGGAGCAAAUCCCUGUUGGUGUUGGUUUAUGAGUAGACCCAAAGUUGUUGAAGAAUGUCCUUGUACGUGUGGCGUGUUUUUGCUUUUGCCUAGUGAUUUACACUAUAAUAUGUGGCACGGCCUCGUCCAGGAGACAUAUCAUUCAAGUGUCUGUCUUAUCAACCGUCGAUGGUAGGUUACGCACCUAUCACAGUCGUCACGGGUGGCGGGGAGUCAGAGUUCUAUUUCUCAGAGGGAAUCUGAAAAAUGACUACCACUUCCAAAGACGGCAACCAGGCGUGCAAAUUACCCAUUUCCAGAACAGGGAGUUAGUUACAAAAAUUAACAAUACGCGAACUCUUUAGAGACCCCGUAACUGAAAUGAGUACACUCUAAAUCCUUGAAGGAGAUCAAUGGGAAGGCAAGUCUGGUGCCAGCAGACAAAAGAUUAAAUUAUCCAACACCAGGA